GACGAACGCUGGCGGCGUGCUUAACACAUGCAAGUCGAACGGAAAGGCCCUGCUUUUGUGGGGUGCUCGAGUGGCGAACGGGUGAGUAACACGUGAGUAACCUGCCCUUGACUUUGGGAUAACUUCAGGAAACUGGGGCUAAUACCGGAUAGGAGCUCCUGCUGCAUGGUGGGGGGUGGAAAGUUUCGGCGGUUGGGGAUGGACUCGCGGCUUAUCAGCUUGUUGGUGGGGUAGGGGCUUACCAAGGCUUUGACGGGUAGCCAGCCUGAGAGGGUGACCGGCCACCUGGGGCCUGAGAUACGGCCCAGAGUCCUACGGGAGGCAGCGGUGGGGAAUCUUGCACAGUGGGCGCAAGCCUGAUGCAGCAACGCCGCGGGCGGGAUGACGGCCUUCGGGUUGUGAACAGCUUUCGCCUGUGACGAAGCGUGAGUGACGGUAAUGGGUAAAGAAGCACCGGCUAACUACGUG
rnacentral:rRNA from 1 species